CGCCAACUGUGCCUGCCCCAAGCGUGAGGAGAAAACAAAUCAGAUCUCGAUCCCAACUUUCCCCGACCUUCGCUGCCCUAGUUCUCGAUUCCCUCUUCCCCCGAUCUUCCCCGCCCUAGUUUCCGAUCCCUAGUUUUCCCGAUCUCGAUUCUCGGAGUUUUCGCGCACCUCGUCGAACAUGGCAGCGAUCAUGGCGGCGCGCGGGCAGGGGCAGGUGCAAGAUUUCGACUUCUUCGUGGUGGUCGACUUCGAGGCGACGUGCGUGAAAGACGCGCGGAUCUUUCCGCAGGAAAUCAUUGAGUUCCCCGCCGUGCUCGUCGACGGCGCCACCGGCCGCAUCGAGUCGGCGUUUCGCAGGUACGUUCGUCCAAACAUCACCCUGUGCUGACUCAAUUUUGCAGGGAACUCACCGGCAUCCGGCAGGAGGACGUGGACGGCGGCGUGGAACUCGGCGAGGCGCUCUGGAUGCACGACUCCUGGCUGAAGGCGGCGACGGCGGGGGCAGGGAGCUUGGCCAUCGUGACCUGGGGAGAUUGGGAUUGCCGCACCAUACUCGAGUCAGAGUGCCGCUUCAAGGGGAUCGAGAAGCCGUCCUACUUCGAUCGCUGGAUCAACCUGAGGGUCCCCUUCCAGGCGGCGCUCGGCGGCGGAGGGCGGGUCACCCUUCAGGAGGCGGUCCGGGCGGCGGGACUGGACUGGGAGGGCCGCCUGCACUGUGGGUUGGACGACGCCCGCAACACGGCGCGGCUUCUUGUUGAGCUCAUGCUGCGUGGGGUCAAGAUGACCAUCACCGGCUCGCUGGCGCCAUCGCCGCCGAUCCAGCAGCAGCCGCAGCAGCUUCUCACAAGCCCUUGCGGUGCCUCAUCUGCGUUGGCGCCGCCGCCGCCGAUCCAGCAGAAGCAGCAGUCGCCGCAGCUUCGCACAAGCCCUUGCGGAGGCUCAUCGCCGCUGGCGCCGCUGCUGAUCCAGCAGCAGCAGCAGCCGCCGCAGCCUCACAUGAUAAUCCCCUGCGGUGGCUCGCCUGGGACGUGCUUCUGCUACUGCAGGGUACCGACCAGAGGAGGCGUGGUGUCCAUGCCAGGGCCGAUGCAGGGGAAGUGCUUCUUCGGGUGUGGCAACUGGACGCCGGCCAUGGGACCCGUCUGCCCCUACUUCGUAUGGGCCAACUGAAUGAACCACCCAUGGUACCAGAUUCAGUGUAGCUCAGCUGUUAGUGUAAAUCGUGCUAGCCAUCAGAAUCAGAGCUUAGCUCGGCUGAUUCUAGCCAGUCUAGGUGUGAAUUGGUCUCUGGAAUCGAAUGUAAUUGGUGUCUGAAUUAGUACCCCCUCUGUAAACAAAUAUAAGUGUUUAGAUCACUAUUAGUGAUCUAAACACUCUUAUAUUUCUUUACGGAUGGAGUAUUAUAUUAUCAAUAGAAAUUCUUUUUAGUUAUGUCCCUUCUCCUGAUCUCUUCCUCUCUCCGGCACCUUGACACUCCUCGUAAUCGCACCCAUUUCUCCGCACAUGCACCGUCGAUUUAGAUAGAUCUGCCGCUCAUAUGCGUGUCCGUAGGAUCAUUUUAACUAACUUCUUUGUUUCCAAAUGUCAUGAGUCUUACAUCUCAGUUUUCAGAAUUACGCUUUUUUCAGGCAUAAGCUUAGGUAUUGUUUGAUAUUGGCGUCCAUGACAACACAAGUUUAUUACUGGAUUUUUAAGGAGCUACUAUAGAUACAUAAUUAUUCCACCAGAGCUGAACUUUUUUUUCUUUCAAAUUCUGACUAAUUACAGUUUACCGUGAAUAGAACCUAUCACUAACAAUAUGAACAUAGUUUGUAAGCAAGUUAUCUUAAUAGAAAAUUGAUUAACAAGAACAGUUCAUUUGUAGACAUGGGCACAUGACAGUAACAUGGAAAUGCAAAAAGGAACACAUCACUGAAAUUAUUUCCCACAUCUGUUGGUUCAAUAGCUUUGUUGCUGCAAAUUAAGGCAUUCAGCGGUUCUAGUACUUAUGCCCGUGUAAUAUCAAACUCAUAAUCGGUAUUCUAGCUAGUGUCCAUGAUCUAUGGUUGUCCUAGUACUCUCCUGUCCACAGAGUUGCGCUGCUUUUUGGCAGUGGUGUUGUUGUAUGCAUUAGUAUGUUGCAUCAAGCCAGUGGCAGUUCGGUUGCAGCCAGCUGGCUGGCAAGGAGGCCAAGGACAUAGGUGCAUCGUAGGCCUGUAGCAGAAGACGGUCAUGUGUCAGACAAGGAUUUGCAGCACCAAGGAAACGGGAGGAAGGACAGCAAGUCUAGGAUUAAAGGAGUCCAACCAUGAGGAGUUUGUAUCGUGCUAGGAAAAGUCAAAGAUCUAAGCAUCCACUAUAUAGAGAUGUCAUGUAUCUAUGUUUCAGGAAGAAACAACCAAUCUUUUCUCUCUGAAAUAAUCUCUCAUCCAACCUAUGUCUACCAAUAUCUUGCAGCAUUGCCAUCUGGCUAUGUUCAGUACGUUAGUUAUCCUGUUGUGGAUAAAGGUUCACAACGUGUUGCUAACAGCUGUAAAACAUCCAUAUAUGGCUUGGUACAUGCAUUACUGGACAUGUUGAACGCCCAAUAAAAAAAAUCAUGGUUUUAUUUACUUACCCAUAUAUCAAUUGUACUUGCAGGAUUGUGUCGGACUGUAUUCCAAUUAAGCAGAGGAAGCGUGUGCCCUAUUUGAUCAUUUCUAGUGGUCUUUCUCUAUUUCCAUAGCUUAUCAUUGGGAUGUCAGAACAUUUGAGGAGCUCAAGCAAUCUUUUUACGCUAAUGUUGAUUGUACAGAACUUGGGAUCUGCCAUGGCAGAUGUUGUUAUAGAUGCAAUGAUUGCAGAGGCAGUUCGAUCAGCAGGGCCAAAAUUUGCUGGUGAUCUCCAGUCAUCAAUGGCUGCAGGGGGGAUAUUUGGGAGCUUAUUGGGAGGAUACGCAUUGUCCAAUCUCCCAAUAAAUGCCAUUGAUAUUAUUUUCUCUGCUCUUCCACUGUUCCAACUAGUUACAUGUGUUUUCAUUAAGGAAUCUCCAAAAGGAUUUGAAAGUACGACAGAUAACGCCGCACAUGAUCAUGCUGAUGGUCAGAAUAUUGAUAGUGCUUUUGCUGGACAAGGCUCAGGUGAAUCUUUUAAAUAUGAGGGCACUAGGAAGCGAAAGGGUGCUCGUAAAAAGAGCAAAAGGAGAUCAUUAUCCAAACGAUCUGAAGCUCAUGAGAAGCACAAUAAAUCAGUUAAUUUAUACUCAUCUCUGAAAUCAGCCUGAGUCAGUUUAUGCACUGCUUUUAAGCAGCCAGCAAUGUUGCGCAGUUCCAAAUAUCUCAACAGUAAUGUUCUAUUAUCAAACGGAGGUUCUACAUCUGGAGAGGCAUCCUUCCUAGGGACUGCACGUGUGAUUGGGUGGUUCAAUCUAAUGCUUGGCACAUAUAUCUACAACCGCUACUUAAAGCAUAAAAAACUCAGGAAUAUUCUUAUGUUUGCACAUGUUGGCCUAGCGAUAAUUACUGUACUGGACAUUUUACUGGUGUCAAGAUUACACAUUCAGUAUGGAAUAGCAGACAAAUACAUGGUGCUGUGGGGCUCUGCUUUAGCCGAUGCAAUCAACCAAUUCAAGAUGAUGCCGUUCCUAAUCCUCUCAGGACAGCUUUGCCCGCCUGGAAUCGAGGGCACACUGUUUGCUCUGUUCAUGUCCAUAAACAACCUCAAUUCGACAUUAGGUUCAUUCCUUGGAGCUGCAUUGGCGUCAGCUUUGAACAUCCCCUAUCGGAUUUUUGUUUCUGAUUCCAAGGGACGUUACGGGACUAACAUCGGGUUACAGACUUGAUCAUCAUUUUUUCUGGACUGGUCUGGUCUGUAUUCCCUAGUCUUACUCAUACAUGCAUAUAGAGAAACCAAAUUGAAGCCAGCAGGAAGGUAGCUCAGUUUUGUUGUAAUAUGUAUACAGGCAUAUACUAGAAUGAGAGGAAGAGUGCAAUAACUGACAUUAUAAAGCGUUAAGCAAUGGCGAAACUGUGUAGCAAAUGUACUUGCGGGAACAUGUGUUACAUGGAAAGUGUUAUUGUUUAUUAUUAAGCUUUUGAUCUGUCUGUCAAUCUACCUACGUCCUAUCUAUCUAUCUAUCUAUCUAUCUAUCUAUCUAUCUAUCUAUCUAUCUAUCUAUCUAUCUAUCUAUCUCUUUCUCUAUAUCUAAUAUUAAAAUCUCUACCUUCAGCACUGAUCCUGCAUGUAUUUACACUAUCAAAUUGAGCAGUGAAUUGAUGUAUAUAUUCGUUAUGCUUGCAAGUGUAAAUUACUUAUUGAUUGCGCUAGAAAUACAAAUAAAUUGCUAUAAAAAAUUCG
rnacentral:rRNA from 1 species